rnacentral:sRNA from 1 species
AUUUAGCCCUGAUAGAAGCGACAUCCUUUUUUUUUCAAAGGGUAAGCAAAGGAAAAAAAGAUAUAGCGGAUAGCAGGAUUAAGC